rnacentral:rRNA from 1 species
AUACGUAGGUCCCGAGCGUUAUCCGGAUUUAUUGGGCGUAAAGCGAGCGCAGGCGGUUUAAUAAGUCUGAAGUUAAAGGCAGUGGCUUAACCAUUGUUCGCUUUGGAAACUGUUAAACUUGAGUGCAGAAGGGGAGAGUGGAAUUCCAUGUGUAGCGGUGAAAUGCGUAGAUAUAUGGAGGAACACCGGUGGCGAAAGCGGCUCUCUGGUCUGUAACUGACGCUGAGGCUCGAAAGUGUGGGGAGC